ACUUCUAAAGGGUAAUCAGCAACCCGUUGGUCUUAGGAACCAAAAACUCUUGGUGCAAAUCCAAGUAGAAGUU
rnacentral:tRNA from 1 species